AGAUGAGAAAACUGAAGUCCAACAAUGCUGAAGAACAAGCCCUAAGUAUCAUAGCCAGGAUUGCACACAAAUUUUUUUUUCCUUUCCAAAUUCUGUGCUUUCUGUAUCACAAUGUAUAGACUUUUCUUUGGAGGAUAAUUUAGUGAUGUACCUUUCUCUUCCCAUUUUUAGCACUUCACCCUCCCACCCCUGCCCGCCCAUGACGCCUGAGCGAUUUUAUUUCCGCAGGCGGGAACUGAGCGGGCAGAGGACUAGGUGCUCAGGGCCGAGGGGACUCCAGUCCGGAGGAGGGCUGGGGCAGCCUGAACUUGGAGAGGUCCAGGUUCAGGUCCAGGAAGGUGUACGUGCUGUAGUUGCGGCGUUGCAGGUUCCUGUAGGUGGUGUUGUCGAAGGGCUCGGCGGGCGCACGGGCCUGGGCGGACUUAUUUUUGGUGGACUCUGUUUCUUGGGCUUUGGCGGCAGCUCCUUUUCAUUCUUCCCCGACUGUGGCUCAGACGUGAGCGUGAGCGGACGCAUGUAGCUCUCGGGCUACGCCCUGCGCGUCCACGUCGCCUGAGGACCCGCCCCUUUUAAAAUUUAUUUACAUCACCUUUUAUUUACUAUACUCUAACCUCAUAAACUAUUUAGCAUUUCUCUUAUUUAGCUUUAUAAUAGAAUCCCUAGUUCUUUUAAAAAAACUACAUUUAACCUCCGUAAUUCUAUACCCACUACUUUAUUUGGUAGCCUUCAGUAACAUGACUUCUGUUUCCAUCUUUCCAUCCAAACACUCUGCAAAGGGUGGUUUCUAAAACACAUGGGUAUAUUUAAUUUGUAUUCCUACUGGACCUCACCAUUGUGCUUGCACUUUUUUUUUCCUUUUUCAGUAGUAGGGAUUGAACCUGGGGCCUUUAUGCUAAGCUAUGUCCUCAGUCCUUUUUGUCAAUUUGAUACAGUGUUAAGUCACUACAUUGCCCAGGCUGGGUUUAAACUUGUGAUUUUCCUGCCUCAGCCUCCCAGAGUGCUGGGAUUAUAGGCACCACCAUGCCUCUCUUGGUUGUUGGGCUAUCGACCACCUCUUGCUCCUCUGGUGGUUACCUUUUCUUUCUUUCUCUCUUUGAAUGAUCAACAGUGGAAAAAUUUGUGCACUAUGCCGGGAAGCGCCAUCAGCACUCACAGUUACACAGUGGUUGGACGGACAUCAGUGCAUUUCCUCAACUCUGAUUAUCCAAGAUGUAUUGACGUGCUGUAUCCUUGGUGUGGGUGAAGAAGAACUUCCUGUGGAGAACAACCCCACCUGGAUCCCAUGGGUAAUGUUUGUGGAACUGCUUCUGCCUGUUGGACAGCUCCCAGCCUGGAGACAGACUCCUGAGGCCAUUCCUGUUUCAGGUGUUCUACCCUGGAUCCUUUCCACCUGGACAAGCUCCAAGGGCCCCUACAGCUAAUUUUCCCAAUUUUCUCCCAUGGCUAUAUAUCUCUUCAAUAACCAGAAAAAAGAAUAUAUUUUCACAAGUGAUGGACUCCCCAUUGCUGAGACACAAAUCCUGCAACCUACAACUUCCAGAUAAAGACUGCUGUUCCAGAAGAAUGUGCUUUACAAGACUUCAGAUUGUGACAGUUUCUAAUCCUGGAACUUCUGCUGCCCCACUGACUGGUUCAAAGGACUUACUUCUUACUGAUGACCCACUCACAAUAUCCCCUUAGCAAGCAGUCAUGUAUAAACAGAAUCCAGCACUUGUCUAAAUUUGUUCAAAAGAAGUUACGUAAUAACAAAGCCAACAGAAAAUUAUUCAAAGUAAGUCACUUUACCUCAUCCCAUUAGUCCCCCUCUUUGUCUUUAAAAAAUAAUCUUCCUUACCUUUGAGGGGGCACUUGUACAAUUUCUAAAGAAAUCUUAGCCAGUUAAUGUUUUUCAUGCAGAUUCAUCGACCUCUGCAUGAAUGAAGAGACAGAGGACAAGCAAGAACACUUUGAGAACCUACUGGGUACUGUAAACCAACAAAUUAUAAGCAAGGUUAAAAUAAAAGCAAAGACCAUUUUCAUACAGGUACCAAAUAGAUUUGUGUGGUGGAUAAACUAAUGGUCAACUUGGAACACUCAGCUGAACGGAAUCAGCAUGGUUCUGGGCUUGGAAGACCCACCUGAGGAUUGUUGCUAAUGGCAUAAAAAGAGAACUAGAGGGAAAGAUCAUUUGCUAUUGAUUAUCUUGGAGAAGCUUGCUGAGGCUGGUUUUCCUGAUAUAAACUUGGCUGUUCUCAUCAGAGGAGGAGCUUGAGUCCUGUCACCUUGGAUGGCUACUGUUCUUGUCAGGGGAGCUCUGAUCUUCACCUUGAGCGUCACUUCCUGGGUCCAGUGCAGAUCCCUCAGCCUAGUGUCACAGAUCCUUCACCCUGUUGACGCAGACUUUCUAGCUUCCACCACUGGCCUUUGGACCUUCUCAGUGCAGAUCCUUGAUAUGGACUUGCAUGAGACAUUGCCUUGGGCUCUGGGCCUUCAGUGGGACUCAUGGAGGACAUUGCCAUAGAACCCAGACUGUUGACUGGAUUCUUCAUGUCUCUGUUGUGUGGACAGAUCUCUUGCCCUCCUUUGCAUUUGACUUUUUAGGUGAAUAUUUUAAAAUAAUCCUGUAGAGCACAGGUCCUGGCAACAGGGCUGUGAAUGGCUGGCGCUUGCUUUCAAAGGUCACCCUCGAAGCAGAGCCAAUGGCCAUGUUCGGAGGCUAGGGAACCACCAGGAGGUGGAGGGGUCACCCAGAGAUGAACUUCAGCAAGCAGAUUGAGCAAUACUCCCUGAGUGCCAGGCAGACACUGACCUCUUCCCACGAAUACUAUAACCAAGAAUAUGUCCUGUCUUCCUGAGGUAUGCAGUGCCAUGAGGAAACAAAGCAUGAACAGAAACUAUUUUAUUGGGCAAGUGAAAUGAAUGGAUACUUCACAGAGGAAGAAAUACAAAUGGCCAACAAAUAUAUGAAAAAAUAUUCAACAUCUCUGGUCAUUAGAGAAAUGCAGAUUAAACCAAUCCUAAGAUUCCAUAUUACUCCAGAAAGAAUGGCAAUCAUCAAGAAAUCAAAAAAUAACAAAUACUAUUGAGGCUGUGGUGAAAAAGGAACCCUCCUACCCUGAAAAAGGAAACCUCCCACACUGUUGUUGGGAAUGUAAACUUAUAUAAGCAUGAUGAAAUCGAUAUGGAGAUUUCUCAAAGAACUAAAAUUAGAAAUUCCGUAUGACCCAGCUUCCUCCUUCUAGUUAUCUUCCCCAAAAAGCUUAAGACAUCAUACUACAGCAAUACUCUAUGUGAACACCAAUGUUUAUAACAGCACAAUUCAUAAUGAAUAAAUCCUGGAAGCAGCCUGUACACCCAUCAAUAGACAAUUAGAUAAAGAAAAUGUGGCAUCUAUACAUAAUGGAAUACUACUUAGCUAUAAAGAAGAACAAAUUUGAGACAUCUGUAGGAAAAUGGAUGCACUUGGAAAAUAUAAUGUUGAGUGAAAUAAACCAUGCAUACAAACUUAAAUACCCUAUGGUAUCUCUCAUUUGAGCAAGGCAAAGUACAAAACUAAGAGAAAAAUAAAGGAAGAGUAGAAGAAGACAAGGGGAUGGAUCUUUUGCAAAUGGGAAAGCAUCCAAGAGACUAAGGGGGGGGGGGGG
ensembl:lncRNA